rnacentral:rRNA from 1 species
GAUGAACGCUGGCGGCGUGCCUAAUACAUGCAAGUCGAGCGAACGGACGAGAAGCUUGCUUCUCUGAUGUUAGCGGCGGACGGGUGAGUAACACGUGGAUAACCUACCUAUAAGACUGGGAUAACUUCGGGAAACCGUAGCUAAUACCGGAUAAUAUUUUGAACCGCAUGGUUCAAAAGUGAAAGACGGUCUUGCUGUCACUUAUAGCUGGAUCCGCGCUGCAUUAGCUAGUUGGUAAGGUAACGGCUUACCAAGGCAACGAUGCAUAGCCGACCUGAGAGGGUGAUCGGACACACUGGAACUGAGACACGGUCCAGACUCCUACGGGAGGCAGCAGUAGGGAAUCUUACGCAAUGGGCGAAAGCCUGACGGAGCAACGCCGCGUGAGUGAUGAAGGUCUUCGGAUCGUAAAACUCUGUUAUUAGGGAAGAACAUAUGUGUAAGUACCUGUGCACAUCUUGACGGUACCUAAUCAGAAAGCCACGGCUAACUCCGUG